AGCGCGCCCUACGGAGUUGUACAAAGUCAGCAACCGUUUUGGGGCGCAAGCAUAGGCAACACAGGACUGAUGACGGGGUGGGGCGCGCAGUGAACUGGUUUUCUAAAAAGAUUGGAAGAUCCGGCCAAAGAAGGUGAUAGCCCUGUUCAUUCGUUCCCAUGGUUCGAUCCUUCCCAGUAAAACGCGGCGUGUUCGAAUGUUGAUCGCUUUUACGCGAGAAAGGGGGACCACCCUCUAAGCCUAAGUAUUCCUCAAUGACCGAUAGCGUACAAGUACCGUGAGGGAAAGGUGAAAAGAACUCCAAUCGGGGAGUGCAAUAGAGAACCUAAGAUCCGAUGCGAACAAUCAGUCGAAGGAGCGGAGCGCGGGCGCACUCACUCUAACGACGUACCUUUCGCAUGAUGGGUCAGCGAGGAAAUGGGAACAGCGUCUUAAGCCAUUUAGGUGUAGGCGCUUUCCAGAGGUGGAAGAUUUACGUUCUUCCUAUUUGACCCGAAACCGAUCGAUCUAGCCAUGAGCAGGUUGAAGAGAGCUCUAACAGGCCUUGGAGGACCGAACCCACGUAUGUGGAAAAAUACGGGGAUGACUUGUGGCUAGGGGUGAAAGGCCAACCAAGAUCGGAUAUAGCUGGUUUUCCGCGAAAUCUAUUUCAGUAGAGCGUAUGAUGUCGAUGGCUCGAGGUAGAGCACUCAAUGGGCUAGGGUGGCCCCCAUUUCGCUUUACCAACCCCAGGGAAACUCCGAAUACAGGCCGUCAUCCUUAGUACAGACAGACUGAUUGGGUGCUAAGAUCCAAAGUCGAGAGGGAAACAGCCCAGAUCGUACGCUAAGGUCCCUAAGCAAUCACUUAGUGGAAAAGGAAGUGAUCGAGCGAUG
rnacentral:ncRNA from 1 species